rnacentral:rRNA from 1 species
UACGAAGGGGGCGAGCGUUGUUCGGAUUUACUGGGCGUAAAGGGCGCGCAGGCGGCUCAUUUUGUCAGGCGUGAAAGCCCCGGGCUUAACCUGGGAACUGCGUUUGAUACGGAUGGGCUAGAGUUCGGGAGAGGAGAGUGGAAUUCCCAGCGUAGAGGUGAAAUUCGUAGAUAUUAGGAAGAACACCAGUGGCGAAGGCGGCUCACUGGCCCGGUACUGACGCUGAGGCGCGAAAGCGUGGGGAGCAAACAGG